GACGAACGCUGGCGGCGUGCUUAACACAUGCAAGUCGAACGAUGAACCCGGAGCUUGCUCCGGUGGAUUAGUGGCGAACGGGUGAGUAACACGUGAGUAACCUGCCCUUGACUCUGGGAUAACUGCGGGAAACUGUAGCUAAUACCGGAUACGACCCUCGGCGGCAUCGCCAGGGGGUGGAAAGAAUUUCGGUCAAGGAUGGACUCGCGGCCUAUCAGCUAGUUGGUGAGGUAACGGCUCACCAAGGCGACGACGGGUAGCCGGCCUGAGAGGGUGUCCGGCCACACUGGGACUGAGAUACGGCCCAGACUCCUACGGGAGGCAGCAGUGGGGAAUAUUGCACAAUGGGCGCAAGCCUGAUGCAGCGACGCCGCGUGAGGGAUGACGGCCUUCGGGUUGUAAACCUCUUUCACCAGGGACGAAGCGCAAGUGACGGUACCUGGAGAAGAAGCACCGGCCAACUACGUGCCAGCCGCCGCUGUAA
rnacentral:rRNA from 1 species